rnacentral:miRNA from 1 species
GCCGUUACCUCUGAGCUUGUA